ensembl:lncRNA
UUGUGUCUUUGAAGGCUGAUUUUGAGGUUAGCUACUUGCAAUAUGUUCACAAUAACUCCACAGCAAUUAGCUGCCCAAUAUGCGCUGUGAGAUUAGGCAGGUUCAGGUGCUUCGAUUGUUGAAACUUUAUUUAUAUGGAUUUAAAUGAUCACCGCAAGCGUUUUGAUGCUGUGUACAGUGAAGAAGAGAAUGUCGAGGAAGUAAUUUAUGUUCAGACAAACUGAUGAUUUUCUUGCAGCGAAUUGAAUUUAUUGCACUUUCUAUCCGUCUCCCUUUUUCAUUUUUCUUUCUUUCUCUUGCCACAUCAUUCCUCUGUCUCUCUGUGUGUACUGAACGACAUGGCAGUCCCCGGAUCGAGCCCUAAUUGCGAUGAUCAACCCUGCGCUGGGUGACGCGGAGUGGCGGCUUGACAAAUGCGAUCAUCCGGAUGGCCGGGGUUGAAGUGGCGCUGGUUGGCAGCUGCCCAUGUUCCUCAGCUGGGACCCGCUCUUGCCCCGGAGGUCAGGGCACCAGUCGGCCUGAUGAGUGGACUGUGUGUAACGUGUUGGGCGAGGGGACAGAAGUUCCCCUUCAGCUGCCUAGCCUCGAGGGCCAAAGACUGCUUCUGAACGGAGGUCAUGCCAGAGACUGACAUUGAUGUUAUUCCAGCGGGGCAGAGAGCCCACGUUCUGCUCCCAUGCUGCUGCCUGGAGACCUCUAAGCCAUAAAGCACCUUCUCAGAGCGUGCCCUUGACGAUUCGAGGCCUUGUGGGUGUGUAGGAUGGCUUCAACUCAAAAGCAGAAGCCGCCUUUGCACCCACUGAGGGUCUGGAAGAGCACAAACAACUGAUGUGUGAUGUUUUAUUGAGACACCUGUUCAUGUAUAAAUUGUAGGAUCUCAUUUGUUUAUAAUUAUAUUAGCAGAUUUACUUUGUGAUCUGCCCAAUGUACCCUUUAUCUACACAUUUAAAAAAAAAAAAAUAGAUAUGAAAUUUUUCCAUUUUUGUGACAUGGUGCAAGCACAGAAAUAUACCCGUUGUUGUUGUUGUUAUUGGUUUGGGUGUGUGUUUUUUCUUUUUUUUUCUUUUGAGGUGGAACCUCAGCACAGGAUGUAAAUGUAUGAAGAACCAAAUUUUGUCCAAAAAUGGGUCAAUGGAUGCAUUAUGGAGAGGUAUAGUUGGCAUCCUUUUGUGGUAUCUAAUCAAAUAAACUUCCUCA